CUCCCUCCCUGCCCGCUAACACCAGGCUUCUACCAGAGACCCGUCUCCCUAAGACCAGGGCAGAGAGCCGUAUGCCAGAUGGCACUGGACAUUUGUCCUCCAGGGCAUUCCUUGCAUCUCCCCUUCCGUGUCAUCUCUUGCAAAGUUUGGAACUUGGUGUUGAAUCAAGUGGGGACCCAGCUAUGGUUGUUUCCACGUCUGGUAUGUGCAGCCCAGAGAUGUUCAGAUGGGAUCAGAGACAAGAGACCUUCCAGCACUAACCGGGAAAAGCUGCUCAAAGUGUUACUCGGCUGUAAGCAAAGCCACAGGACUCAAGUGAUGCUGACCUGGAGGGUGGUACAGCGAUGAACACAGAGGAGCUAUGGCUCAGUGCUGCAAUUGCCCAGCUGAGUCAACAGAGAGAGGAUCCAGUCAGCAGCUGGUGAGUGCUUCCAGCCUCCAGGCCAUGCAGCUGGACCGGGCAGUCUUAGAAUGCAUCGUCCCCUUUUGCCAGUAGGAUCGGCGAGAUACCACCAUUACCUCCCCUAGGAGCCUGCAGCCAUAUCAAGGUCCUGCUAUCAGCUGGUCAGCCUCAACUCAGUCCCUGCGAAGACUGGACACCAUAUCCCCCUGGAAGCUAUUUCCAAGCACAUGAAGGACUAGAAAGUGACUGUGAGCAGCCAGCAGGGAUUUACCAAGGGCCAGUUGUGCCUGACCAACCUGAUUACCUUCUACAAGGAGACAACAGCCUGUGUGAACAACAGGAGGGCACUGGAUGUUGUAUUGAUUGAUUGUAGCAUUGACUUUAUCAAGGCCUUUGACAAGGUCUCCCACAGUCUACUUGUAGGCAAGUUGCGAGAUUUGGACUGGAUAAGUGGAGUGUGAAUUGAAUGGAAAACUGACUGGAUGGUUGGGCUGACGGGGUCAUAUCAACAAUAUGAAGUUCAACUGGUAACUAGUUACUAGGGGCAUCCUUCAGGGAUGCACACUGAUAGGUCGAUAGUGUUUAAUGUCUUUAUUAAUGGCCUGGACAAUGAGCUGUCUUGCACUCUCAGCAAGCUUGCAGACAAUACCAAAUUGGGGAGAACUAUUGCUAUGGUGUAGGGCAGGGCUGCUACUCAGAUGGACCUUGGCAGGCAAGGGAAAAGGGCCUCCCUCUCAGUAACAGAUGCUGGCAACACAACUGCUGUGAAAAUGUGACUGUUGCCACCAGAAGCUGGAGGUAGUGUGUAUGUGAAUGUGGCUUAGAGGAACUCUGGCUGAGAGGGCUCUUAACUUCAUUACCUACUAAUCUACAUUUCCUCCUUCUGUUUCACUGGUGAUGAAAUCUAAAUGCAAAAUCUGUUAUUGACAAGUAGUGUAUGGACUAUGUGUCUGGUCAUUGGCAUUUUCAACAGAAGCUUCUUGGCUGCAUUGAAACAGAAUUCAGGAAAGUUAAAUGAAUUUUGCUGAAGCCAUUGGGAAAUCCUUACCUCUGAGUGACAAGAGCUACUGAGCGCCUGUAGCUGGAUUGUCGUAAUGGAAAUUGCAUGGGAGCCAUAACUGCAGCCAUCCCUCCUGACAUUCCUUCAAGGGCUCUCAAGGUUUACUGCAGAGGGAGUAGUCUUACACAUACAACAGUUGUUCCUCUGUACCCCACUCACAAGGAACCAUCUUUGGAUUGGUAAGCAUGGCAGUAUUGCUUCAACCAACACAAUUUCCAUGACCAUCUUCCCUUCACAUUGCAAGAUUCAGGCUUGUCCUGGGAUGACUGAUCAGCCUCCACUUCCGUUGUCUUGCCAGCCUUCAGUCAUGGUGACUCCUCAUUGCUGACACUCUUCCACUUCACCAGUUGAAGGAAUAACCUGCACUGAAAUUUAAUUGCAGGGUGCUGCAGUGAACACACAUGCUUUGACUUUUAUUUAGCUAUUUCUUCUGUUUCCAGUAAAUUCCACAUGAUCAUUGAAAUAACUAUCUGCUGGGACAACCACAAUAUGUACUUCUGUACAAAUAAAAACAUGUGUUUUAACUUACCUGUGUGCUUAAUAUUGCAAGAGCUUCACCGGAGAGGCACUUAGAAAUCAUGCAGCCCUCAUGUACCUUCUGUGAAACGCAUUUGUGUACUUUUGACUGUGAUCCACAGAGCAUUAAUGACAUGGUAAAUAUGGACAUUGAUCUCUGUGACAUGAUAGCCUCCCCCGUUCAACUCAGAGGCUGUGGGGUGUUAUUUAUCUUUUAGUUAUGAUCCUUAGCUAGUGUUUUCCUCUGAUGGUUCCAUAUCAAUGUUUUGUCCAAUAUGAGUUCCUGAAGCACUAUAUCAAAUAUUUACCAGCAUUAAGAAUCGUGUAAUAUUAGACCAUGUGCCUUUUUUAAUUAGCCUAUAGUCUAAUCAAAGAAA